GCAAAUAGGCCGGGAAGCUAAGGGUUUCCCAUACGCAAAUCCCUUUAUGGCGGGCCAAUGCAGGAUGCGUGCUGUGUUGUUGCACAGAGCCUAUGUCAAGAUGUUGACAUUCUGCCUUGGAUGGUAGAGCCUGCAUGUGAACCGGGCCAGGCCGGAAGGAGCAACCCUAAGCAUACAGGACUACGCUUUCAAGAUACAGAAUCGAGUUGAGACAUAACAAACCCUGUGUAAUGGCGCAGUGCAAGUCCUGCUUUUGC
rnacentral:SRP_RNA from 1 species